rnacentral:lncRNA from 1 species
GAGCAAAACCAGCGACGCGUCCCGGACGCCCGGGGACCCCUGUGGGUCUCGGUUUCCUUCGCUGUGACCCUGACAUGUUUCCCUCCACCGGCCCGAGGAAACCGUCGCUUCCAGCCUCCAGGUACCGUCACCUCUGCGGGGCUGCGAGCGGAGGACCGGGACAGAGAAGGAGCCGGCGGUCCUGGCCAGCCGCGCGGCUCAAAACCCGACGGCGCGGGGACUCCGGGCCUGGGGCCUCCAUGGCUGUGGCCUCCUUAUCUCCCGGGCCGGCUGCUCCCUACGCUGCGGGGCUGAGGGCACUGGGGACCCAGGGGCUUCUCUGGCACUAGCGAGGACCUAACCUUGAGUGAAGAACGAUGUCAAGUGAAAGUGAAGAAUAACGGGGGUGGGCGCGAAGAGAAUGGUCUUGGGGCGCGCUUGCGCCUCUACCCGAGGACCGAGGUGGGGAUUCGACAGACGCCAGCGGUGGGGAUCCGGGGCGAGAAGCCCCGACUUUCUGAGUCGUGAGCCGCCUCCAGUCGCCCCAGGACGUAACCCCGAGGAGCUUUCAGACACUGGCCGCGCCUAAUAUCGCUGAGAACCGCGAAAACCGGAGUUCCGGCCGCCUCCCGGACUGGCGUCCCGAGGCCAGGGGACCCGCUUGGGGCUCCCGGCCGAGCCCCGACCUCGGACGUUUUUCCGGGAGCCGCGAGAGGCCUGGGGGCCUGGGCCAGGCGCCGCGGCGGGCAUCGAUCGCCGGCUCCCAGAGAGUGGCCCCGCGCAGGUGGAGGUGACCCCGUCACCUCCAGGAGCGCCCCCAAGCCCCGGUACCCGCAGCGUGCGCCCUCUCCUCCUCCCCGAAGGUUAAGUUCGUCUUUUUCGGUUCUCGGUUACGCAUCCCCUUGGCACGCAUGCCCAGCCACACCGUGGGCGAAACUAGAGGGCCCGCGUCCCCUGGGGGCUGCCGCGGGGCCCCGAGUGAGGUGUCCCCUCCGGGCCGGGCCCGAGUCGGAGGCCCCCUUUGCAGCCUAGAGGAGCGCGGGGCUGGCGCUGCGCAGGAACCGCCAGGCCGGGGAGGGGGCCGCGCCCGGGCCUGGGCCAAGAGCGCGCGUCCCCCGCCCGGGCCCUGCGGCCCUCCCCAGGUGUCUGAGCAGAGCUGCUGAAGCUGCAGAAAUGUGCUGGCGCCUGUCCACCGCCGCACACAAAACCCAGCCAAAAGCGGCGAGAGGAAAAGCGAAUAUGGCGCUGCUGAAAAUGGAGACUCCGCAUCUAGAAAGUCUUUCUUUCCUUUCCUCUUUUCGCUCUUACUUCGUCGAUCUUUUCCCCCUUGCCCUCUCACGAGGGCCUCCUGCGCUUUCCUUCGGGUGUUCUCUACCCCUCGGCCCCUUUCCUGUUCUUAUGAAUAACCUCCUUUACUCGGUUUUCCUUCUUCCUUUCCACUCCCGGUUCCUCUUUCUCCAUUUUGUGUCACAGGCGCCUUGCUUCUUGUUCCCUUUCAGGGCGCGCACUCCCCCGCCCGGCUCACUUUAUUUUGUGUGUGGGUGGCGGAGCAGGGAGGGGGUGGCAAGGAUCGUGAGGCUAAGUAUCGAGUUUGUUUGUUUGUUUUUCUUUCUUUCUUCUUCUUCUUUUUAAAGGUGUUAUCUUAGGAGCCAAGCAUCUCCUUUGGUCCUGCGCUCCUUCGCCUAGCGCCUGGUGCCCCCCACCCGGCUGCAUCCGAGGCUUGCGCGGCCCGGUCCCAUCAGCCGAGCGUCGCCCGCCCAGGAGGAGGCUCGGGUUCUCCGCAGAAGCGAAUACUUUCUCUUUUUGUUUUAAGUUAGAACCUUGCUUUUGCAGUGAUUCGUUGCUGUGGCGUGAUUUUAAACAGGUCGAAAAGCAUCAUGAAGCCAAGUGGUUAUUGUUUUGCUUAUUCAGUGUGAACUGAGUGAGCCAGGUUUGUAUACCAAGUGAUUCUCGUGGUGGACAAUACCAAUAUGAUUAUGCCAAAUGCAUUGCUUCUGAGGCAUCACUCUUUGGGCACAUAUAGACCCUGCUGAUUUCUGCCAAAGCACUCUUCUUAAAGUUCCAAAACAUUACCCCAAAACCUCUAUAGCCCCCUAUUGCCAACAAAAUUAAAGCCUUUCUCUUCAUUGGCAUUAGAAGCCCCUGUAACCCAUUGCUUUUCCAUUUCCAGCCUCUUUCCAAAAUUACCAAACAAACUCUGUAUCCUGCAGCCACCAAACUGUACUAGUUGUAAUAUAUUCACUAAGAACAGUGGUCUCUCAUUUGUCUCUCUUUUCUCUCUUCUUAUAUCAGUUAGAAUGUAACAGACAACCCAGCUAACACAGAGGCUCAUUUUUCUUAUGUGACAAGAAGUCUGUAGAUAAAGAGUUGCUAGUGUUUUCUUGGGGGUUCAGUGAUAUCACCUCUGUGAUUCAGUUGACCUUCAUAUCAUAGUUGCAAAAUGGCUGCCGUAAGUACAAAAACCACACUGACUGCUGGGUGGGAAGGCAACAGAAAAUUUGUUCUUGGUGAGUCUUACUCACGUCAAGGAAGUAUAAUAUUUUCCAAAAUGCCCCACCAAAGGAUUUCCUCUUACAUCAUAUUAGCCAGAACUGGGACAUAUUAUCACCCUUUAUCUGGGGUAGAGGCCCACAUUUCCACAUCAAAGGGAAUUUGCUCAAUGCCUAAAUCAAACUGGAAUUCAGUUAAGCAAAGAAGAAACAGAGGAAUGGUUUUUGGGUAGGCAGUAAACACUGUCAGCUACAUCUCCCUGAAAGCCAUCACUCCCUUAAAAUAUCUUUGCGUAAUGUCAUCAGUUACUUCUGAACUUUUUCAUCCAAUGGACAGUGUUUAUUUUCUAACUUACUUGAACUUUUUGUGGGGCUUAGCCACACCCUUUUUGAAAUUUAUGUAUUCAUCAAAUACCCACUCAUCACUUACUGUGUAUUAGUCACUCUGCUGGGCAAAGAGAAUGAAAAAAUGAGUCAUGCAUGGUCCUGAACCUUCACAAGUUUAUAGCCUAGUGGGGCAGACAGGUGAAUAAAUAAGUGCAAAAGAAUGUUAUAGAUACUGUGAUAAAAUUAUGUUUCGUGGGCCGGGUGUGGUGGCUCAUGCCUGUAAUCUCAGCACUUUGGGAGGCUGAGGCGGGUGGAUCACCUGAGGUCAGGAGUUUGAGACUAGCCUGGCCAACAUGGUGAAACCCCGUCUCUAAUAAAAAAUAACAAAAAUUAGCUGGGCGUGGUGGCAGGCACCUGUAAUCCCAGCGACUGGGAGGCUGAGGCAGGAGAAUUGCUUGAACCCAAGAGGCAGAGAUUGCAGUGAGCUGAGAUCACGCCAUUGCACUGCAGCCUGGGCAACAAGAGAAAACUUUGUCUCAAAAUAAAUAAAUAAUAUGUUUUGUGGGUUUUUUUUUUUUUCUUUGACAGGGUUCUUACUCUGUCACCCAGCCUGGAGUGCAGUGGCACGAUUAUAGCUCACUAUAACCUCGGGCUCCCUGGCUCAAGCAAUUCUCCUGCCUCAGCCUCCUGAGUAGUUGGAACUAUGCAGGCUAAUUAUUUUAUCUUUUGUAGAAAUGGGGUCUUGCUAAGUUAGCCAGGCUUGUCUUGAACUCCUGAGCUCAAGCGGCCUUCCCACAUUGACUUCCCAAAGUGCUGGGAUUACAGGCAUGAGCCACCAUGCCGGGCUUAGAAUGAUGAAUGAGAUAAAAUGGGGUACAAAGAAAGGAGCAGCCAUUUCUGGAUCUCAGGUGUGAUGUCUCUUUUCAGGGAAGGACAGGGGUGAUACAGCCAUUAAUAAAAGCAAUCUCACUUUCCUGGUUGGUUGUCUCUUUGCCUCCUCCCCUGGAAUAAUACAGACCUCUGUAGAAAAUCACAGGCAGGGUAGGGAUGACGGAGCUGGCCUCCUCCCUUCCCUUGGCCUGACAAAUAUGCAUGGAAUUCCCAGGAAUGUUCAAGCUUUUUUUUUUUUUUUUUCCAAACUUCAGAUUAGAAUCCAACUCAUGUAGAAUCCAUGUAGAAUCCGACUCAAACAGAAUCCAUCAGGCAUGAGAAUUCUGGAAUGCCCUUCCUGGUUUAUCUACUUCAUCUGUGUUCCAUGAAGGGCACCUGGUCUCACACCUAGACUCCGGGAGCUCCAGGUCCCUACUCUCUUAGGUUUCAGGGCCUAACCAAUCAGGAUGGCAAGAAGGAUGUAUUUGGGGAGAUCCAAGCCUGUCUGCUUGGCUGUAGUGUAGGACUGGGGGGAAAAGAAAGGCACAGUAAGGAUCAAAACAAGGCUGGAGCAGUAGGUAAAGAUGAGUUCAUGCCAACGUAGGAGGCUUGAAGAUGUUUGGUAAGUCAUAGGUUCCCAAACUUUCCAGCUCACUGCAUCUGUAGCAUCUUCGUAAUUUGUUCAUGGUGCCCUCAGCCAGAAGACAUACUUCACAAUUCCAUUCGUUAAGUAGGUAAGUCUAAACAACAUAUUAGUGGUCAUUUGUGAGGUGUUUGAUAGGUGGGGCUGUAUUUCUCUCAAACAUUUAAAAUAUCCCACAGCAACCUUGUGAGUUUGUUCCCUGUGGUGUCCCAGGGUGACCUGAUGGGAAAUUUGAGAACCAUGGUAUAGGUCGCUAAAGAUUUUUCAUCUGGUGAAUUAAAUAUUUGAUUUUGUAUUUGAGAAAGCGCCAUCUUUCUGUAGAUUGGAGUAAAGGCGUGGUGGGAGGUAAGGAGACCAUAAGUUAGUGGUAGUCAUUUAGGAGAGAAGUGAUGGGGAUAUAAAAUGAGACAUACUAAUGAGCAUGCUGCUGGAUCUAAAAUAUGUUAUGGAGGUAGAAUGGAGAGGAGGAUUUCCUUAUCAAUUGGUUUUUGGAGAGAAAGAAAGAGAGAGGUUGAUUCCUAGACUGUGGGCUUGGGUUAAAGGGUAUAUGAUAGCAGACAUGUUGAAAAAACAUAUCUUUGGGAGAAAGAAUAACAUUUUUUGGCAUGCUGAAUUUGAGACGUGCAAGGAUGAGAUGGAUAUAGGGCAUUGGAGCUCAGGAGCAGAUCUGAAAAAUAUAAGUUAAUUAUGAAUAUAUAGAUUAGGGCUGACAACAUAAGAGUAGACGAAAUGGCUCAGGAUGAGUGUAGAAUAGAAAGAAGCAUGCCCAUAUGUGAUGGUCAAUUUUCUUUUAAUUUUAAUUUUUGUAGAGAUGGGGUCUCACUAUGUUGCCCAGGCUGAUCUUGAGCUCCUGGCCUCAAGCAAUCCUCCUGCCUCAGCCUUCCAGAGCACUGGGAUUACAGGCAUGAGCCACCAUGAUUGGUCUGGAUUCCUUAUAAAAAAUAUUAUAAUGAGUACAUCAUGUUUAGAGAGCCAAGAAAGGGCAGGGUCCUGCCUAGGAGACAGAGCCAGGACAGGUAUCAUGAAGCUUGUGUAAAGUGAUAUGUUUUGGGUGGAGCCAAGACUCUUCCCCUACUGUUGUUCUGUUCAAUAGAGACCCUGGGUCUUUCUUUUUCGUUUGUGGUGGCGCCCCCUGGAUAGAGCCUCAGAGAGGCAGCAUCACAAAGAGCUAUGCAAGGAAUUGGUUCUGCAGGGGAGACAGUGGAGGGCAAGGUGUGGGGGACUGCGGGGAGGAGGAGGGGGUAGGGGAGAGGUGGUAGCACACAGUGCGAGGAUUCUGUGCCAUGCCAGUUCAGCCUUAUGUUCAAAGCAGCUGUUCUUUCUGGGCUUCCAAGAGAGGAGCACCAUUUUUAUGCCCACAUUGUAACAAACAAUGAGAUAUGUACUGGUUAACAGUAUCAAAUGCAAUGCAGUGAUUAAAUAAGGAGUGGAGAAAAUCUAUGGAAUCUUACAAUUUGGAGGGCCCUGGUGACUUAUCUAAAUACCUUUUUUGCAAUAGAGCAAGUCAGAACCCUGAGGAUCUCAGGGAUUAACAAGGGAGACAGCCAUGUCAAACAAACAAAACCAAUGCACUGUGAUAAGGUGUAAGGCUUAAUAUAAGGUGGGAUAACUUUCUCUCACCUCUCUCAUUCACUAAUCACUUCCUAUCAGCACCUGUCACUGGUAGGUGGUUUCUGAUGCUCCGAAACGCCCAGGUGCGCUGGCUUCCAGCCUAGCUCCUCUCCUCCCUCUGCGUGUUCUUCCUGAGCAAUUUCAUCCAAUUUAACUAUCACCUGUAGACCAGUGAUUUCUCAACCUGUAUUUCUAGUUUCCUGACUUACUGAGCUUGAGUUCAGCAUUUUGAACAAUGGCCAUAGUACUGGGCACAUGGAGGUACUCAGUAAAUGUCUACUAAUUCACUUAAAAGUUGAUCCUAAGUAAACUGAUGAUGUAGGAGUAAAUUUGGAUCUCAAGUAAACUGAAGUUUACACAGUGAGUAAGCAGGGAAAUACUUUCCAAUAGAUUUGACAUAAAACUUCAAUUUCUUUUUUUUUUCUUUUUCUUUUUUUUUUAGAGACAGGGUCUUGCUGUGUCACCCAGGCUAGAGUGCACUGAUGUAAUCAUGGCUCUCUGCUGCAGCCUCUAACCCCUGGGCUCAAGGGAUCCUCCUGCCUCAGCUUCCUGAGCAGCUGGGACUACAAGUGCAGUCCAUCAUAGCCAACUAAUUUUUUUUUUUUUUUGAGAUAGGGUCUCCCUCUGUUGCCCAGACUGGAGUGCAGUGGCAUGGUCUUCGGUCACUGCAGCCUUGAUCUCCCAGGCUCAAGUGAUCCUCUCACCUCAGCCCCCUCGAGUAGCUGAGGCUACAUGCACUUGCCACCGUAUGUGGCUAAUUUUUGCACUUUUUAGUAGAGAUGGGAUUUCACCAUGUUGCCCAGGCUAGUCUCGAACUCCUGGAUUCAAGCAAUCUGCCCACCUAGGCCUUCCAAAGUGCUUGGAGUAUAGGCAUGAGCCACCAUGCCCAGCCUGCCCAGCUAAUUUUUAAUUUUUUUGUAGCGAUGGAGUCCUGCUAUGUUGCCCAGGCUGGUCUUGAACUUCUAGCCUCAAGUGAUCCGUCUGCCUUGGCCUCCCAAAGUGCUGGGAUUACAGUCAUGAGCUACUAUGCUGGGUCUAAAACCUCAGUAAUUAACCGGAAACCAGAUGAGAGUUUCACUAUGGGAAUUGGGUUAGGUGCAGCUAAUCACAGUGAAGAAUAGAUUAAAAUACAUGGAUUUGCAAAUCAGAAUGCAGGUUCUGCUGCUAACUUUGGGAAAUUCAGCUAAUUCUCUGUGUCUUUGUUUCUAUGCUAGUAAUGCUUUAUUUUAAAAUGUAUUUAUGGUUAUUAAGAUGUAAUUCACAUACCAUAAAAUUUAUCGAUUUAAAGUGUACAAGUCAGUGUAUUUACAGACUCAUGUAACCAUCAUCACUAAUUCCAGCGUGUUUUCAUCACCCUAAAAAACACCCUCAUGCCCUCAUUCCCCAUUCCCCAUUACCCCAGUUUCUGGCUACUGCUUUCUAUCUCUAUAUAUUUACUAUACUGUACAUUUCAUACGAGUGGCAUCAUAUAAUAUAUGUCCUUUUGUGUCUGGCUGCUUUCUCUUAAGCAUAAUGUUUAACCAUAAAAAAAGUUAGCAUAAUGUUUUCAAGAUUCAUCCAUCUUACACCAUGUAUCAAUACUUUGUUCCUUUUUAUGGCUAAAUAAUAUUCCAUUAAUUGGAUGUAUCAGAUUUUGUUUAUUCAUCAAUUGAUGGACAUUUGCAUUGUUUCCAUUUUUUUGCUAUUAUGAAUUAUGCUGCUAUGGACAGUACUGUAUGUCCUGCAUGGACAUUACAGAAACUUUUCUGUGUGGCCAUAUGAUGACUCAAUGUUUGACAUCUUGAGGAGCUACCAGUUGCUUUUCUGAGUGGCUGCAUCACUCUGUAUUCCCACCAGCACUGUAUAAGAGUUCCAAUUUAUCCAUGUCCUGGCCAACACUGGUUAUUGUCCAUCUUUUUUAUUGUUGCCAUCCUCAUUGAUAUGAAGGGACACCUCAUUGUGAUUUGAUUUACAUUUCCCUAAUGACUAAUGAUAUUGAGCAUUUUUUUCAUGUGUUUAUUUGCCAUUUGUAUAUCUUCUUUAGAGGAAUGUCUACAAAUCCUUUUCCCACUUAAAAAUUGAUUAUUUUUCUUUUUAUUGUUGCAUUUUAAGAAUUCUUUAUACAUUCUGGAUGUUAGAACCAUAUCAGAUAUAUGAUAGGCAAAUAUUUUCUUCAAUUCUGUGGUUUGUAUUUUCACUUUCUUGUUAGUAUAUUUUGAAGCAUAAAAGUGUUUAAUUUUGGUGAUGUCCAUGUCCACUUUAUUUUUUCUUUUGUUGGUUGUGUUUUUGUUGUCAUAUCUAAGAAUCCAUUACCCAAUCCAAGAUCACAAAAAUUAAGGUCUGUAUUUUUUCUAAGAGUUUUAUGGCUUUAGGUUUUACAUUUGGGUUUUUGAUCCAUUUUGAGUUAAUUUUUGUAUAUGGUGUGAGUUAGGGAUCCAAUUUCAUUCUUUGCAUGUGUACAUGUAGUUGUCCCAGCACCAUUUGUUGAAAAGACUCCUCUUUUCCUCUUAAAUUGUCUUAGUGCCCUUGUUGAAAUACAUUGGCCAUAGAUGUAGGGACUCCCAAUUCUACUCCAUUGAACAAUAUGCUCAUGCUUAUUCUAGUACCACAACUAUAAUCCCAGAAUGAAAAGGUGAAUUACAUAGAAGAAAUUUCUAUUCUCAAAUUACUUCAUAACUCAAAAGACUUGUGGGCAAUUCAGUUCUGGGUUUUCUUUCAUCUCUCGUUGGAAAAAAAAAAUCUCUGCAUCAACCCCAUCUAAAAUAACUAAAUUGUAUGCAUAAACCUAAAUUUAAAUACUCAUCUGCAGGUCUCGUUUAUAGAAUCCUACUUAUGUUGAUGAUGUGGGCUUUGGCAAUCUCUUUCUCACUGUAUUCUAUGAAAUAGCUUAAAAAGUCAAUUAUGAAUUGAAGCAUUCAAUUAUUAGAAUGCAUAAUACUAGUUUAAUUUAAAAGUUAGUCUUCAGUUUCAUGCAAAACCC